GUUUAACCGUAAACCUUUAAUUACACCCCUUUCAACGCCCGAGAACUACGAGCAAAGCUUAAAACUCAAAGGACUUGACGGUAUCCCACAUCCACCUAGAGGAGCCUGUCCUUUAAUCGAUAACCCCCGCUUAACCUCACCAUUUUUAGUUAAUUCAGCUUGUAUACCUCCGUCGUCAGCUUACCACGUGAGCGCAACUUAGUAAGCUUAAUGUCCUAAUACAUCAACACGUCAGGUCAAGGUGCAGCAAACAAAAUGUGGAAGAGAUGGGCUACACUUUCUAAUUUAGAAGACACGAAAAACUAUCUAUGAAACCUAGUUAGAAGGCGGAUUUAGCAGUAAAAAGAAAUUAGAGAGUUCUUUUUAAUUAGGCACUGGGAUAUGUACAGCACCGCCCGUCACCCUCUUCAAAGCUUUUUAUUAGUAAAUAACAAAUCCACGCACUUAAGAAGAGGUAAGUCGUAACAAGGUAAGUAUACCGGAAGGUGUGCUUGGAAA
rnacentral:rRNA from 1 species